rnacentral:rRNA from 1 species
UACAGAGGGGGCAAGCGUUGUUCGGAAUUACUGGGCGUAAAGGGCGCGUAGGCGGCCUUCUAAGUCGAACGUGAAAUCCCUGGGCUCAACCCAGGAACUGCGUCCGAUACUGGAAGGCUUGAAUCCGGGAGAGGGAUGCGGAAUUCCAGGUGUAGCGGUGAAAUGCGUAGAUAUCUGGAGGAACACCGGUGGCGAAGGCGGCAUCCUGGACCGGUAUUGACGCUGAGAGACGAAAGCCAGGGGAGCAAACGGG